UACGGAGGGUGCAAACGUUGUCCGGAAUCACUGGGCGUAAAGCGCAUGUAGGUGGUUUAGUAAGUGAAAGGUUAAAGACCGAUGCUUAACAUCGGACCGGUGUUUCAUACUGCUAGACUGGAGUAUGGCAGGGGUAAGCGGAACUUUAGGUGUAGGAGUGAAAUCCGUAGAUAUCUAAAGGAACACCAAUGGCGAAGGCAGCUUACUGGGCCAUUACUGACACUGAGAUGCGAAAGUGUGGGGAGCAAACGGG
rnacentral:rRNA from 1 species